UAUACAGGGUGUAUAAAAAAAAACUGAACAGAUUUAAAAUUGCUCUCAAUUUCGCAAAACAGCUAUUUGUAUCCGGUUUUUUAUAUAUAUAGCCUCUUUGGGUACUUAUAAUGUAGAAUAAUGAGAAAGAUUUCUCGAACUCAAAUUUUGUGAACCAGGGGGGUGUGUCUUUUCCAACAAACUAAAAAUGGCUCGCGCACAAAAUUUAAAAGCUGCAAUCAUAUUUUGAGUUAACAGAUGGAAAAUUUGUCGGGAUUUUAAUUACUGUACAAAAUUUCAGACAAUUUGGUUUGGUUUAAGCCCCUUAACUAUUCACGCAAAGUUACAAUUUUCCCGAAAAAUCAGCUAUUAGCAUGCUUAAUUGUGCAUUUGCCUAAUUUGCAUAUGUCAGCAAUAUGCAAAUUAGGUAAACGCAUUAAUUAAGCAUGCGAAAGGCUGACUUUUUAGAACAAAAUGAAUAGUUAAAGGGCUUAAACUAAACCAAAUUGUCUGAAAUUUUGUACAGUAAUUAAAAACCCGACAAGUUUUCAAUCUAUUAACUCAAAAUAUGAUUACAGCUUUUAAAUUUUGUGCGCGAGCCAUUUUUAGUUUGUUGGAAAAGACACACACCCCUGGUUCACAAAAUUUGAGUUCGAGAAAUUUUUUUCAUUAUUUUACAUUAUAAGUACCCAAAGACGCUAUAUAUAU